GACUCUCGGCAAAGGAUAUCUCUACUCUCGCAUCAAUGAAGAACGUAGCAAAAUACGAUACUUGGUAUCAAUUGCAGAAUCCCCUGAACCAUCAAGUCUUUGAACGCAAGUCGCACCCUAGGCCAUCGAGCUGAGGGCACGCCUUCUUAGGCAUCU